GUUGCCCACAUCUGUCUGAGGAUCUGGAUAAUUGGAGGGUGUGGAAAGAAAGCCAUGGAGGACUUGUAUGCAUCUGGAGAAUGGAAAGAAUCCAAAUUUCAGUGACCUGAGAAGCUGUCACACCCUUGGUUUCAAACAGCCCCUUUGAACAGAGCAUGUCUUGACAGAGAAGGGUAUAGACCCCAUACUUCCACUGCCUUGGGUUUGACAGAAACACUGUGUGAGAAAGAAUCAGGGAUAGAGACACAGGAACUUCAAGCAGGGAAAUCACAGAAUAAGAGAAGGAUGAAUUUAAAGACAUCAUUGGAACUUACAGAAGAAUGGCCAUUUGAAGACAUGGGGGAGAAGACAACCAUCUACAAGCCAAGGAGGAAGGCCUCUGAAGAAAUCAAACUUGCCAAUGCCUUGAUCUUGGACUUCUAG